CGCACAUGUGGAGAAAGAAAACUGGUCCGAAAAGGAGUAAAUUUGCACCGAGUUACCACAUUGAGUAUUCCUGACAAAUCUUCAGUCACUGUGGCUGUCCAUCACACUCAACAGAGAUGUCUAAAUCUUUCAAUGUUGCGUCUCUCAGACUAAUCUGCUCAACAUCCUGAUAUACAGAUGAACUAAUGCAGAAAAAGUGUCCGAUUUUCAAUCAUGGUGGCUGUCCAUCACACUGAGCAGAGAUUUCACAAUCUAUCAAUGUUGAAGCUUCACAGAGUCGACAGCACUCAACUAUGACAUCUCACACCUAAAGAUGAAUCAAUGCCGACAAAGUGUCCAAUCUUCAAUCAUGGUGGCUGUCCAUCACACUGAGCAGAGAUGUCUCAAUCUAUCAAUGUUGAAGCAAGGGAUCAAAAUCCAGACAGAGAGUUUCGGAUCUCACAAGGAGUCAGCGUCCAUCAUAAGUAGAGAUGCACAACCUUUUUGGAAUUUGUAAUUAUUCGUUUAUUAUAGGGAUUUAGUUAGAAAUAAUUGUGUGGUGAAUCGUUACUCUCUUUGUUGUAUGGUGAAUUGCUGACACUUUUUGUUGUGCUGUGAAUUGCUCACACUUUUUGAUGUGUGGUGAAUCGCUCACACUUUUUGUUGUGUGGUGAAUUGCUGACACUUAUUGUUGUGUAGUGAAUUGCUGACACUUUUUGUUGUGUGGUGAAUCACUGACA